AUCUCUUCAAUGCUUUGUGUCGGUUGAUCAGGCUCCUCAUACUGGUUGCUCAUUGUGUCCCCAUCCAUGAGAUCAGCUGGUAGAUUCUUCAAGAACCAUUCAUGGUUUUUGAUCUCCGGAUCAGCAACAAAAAUCCUUGAGAUCAAAUGGCGGCACUCAGGAGAUAUAUGAACAUAGUCAGGAAUUGAGUAUUGGACAUUCAAAAUCCUCUGCAACCAACAUUCAAUAUUAGUAUACCAUUUAGAGAAACAAGUUCCAUCCAUCAAAUAAUUAAAAAGAAAAGAAAAGAAAAGAAAAGAAAGGAGGAAGCAAUGUCUUACAUGUAUUGUUUUGCGGAAAUUUUUAGGUUCCUCUGGAUCCUCAAAUGGAUAAGCACCAACCAACAUCACAUAUAAGGUUACCCCACAAGACCACACAUCUGCAAUCUGAAUCAUGGUUCAGUUACAACAUUACUACAUUUGUUAGUAUAUCAUAUCAGUUUUACACUUGCAUGCAAUCGCAUAAUGAUACAUCAAUAAAAAUAAUUAGUUUUUA